rnacentral:rRNA from 1 species
UACAGAGGUCUCAAGCGUUGUUCGGAUUCAUUGGGCGUAAAGGGUGCGUAGGCGGCGCGGUAAGUCGGGUGUGAAAUCUCGGAGCUUAACUCCGAAACUGCAUUCGAUACUGCCGUGCUUGAGGACUGGAGAGGAGACUGGAAUUUACGGUGUAACGGUGAAAUGCGUAGAUAUCGUAAGGAAGACCAGUGGCGAAGGCGGGUCUCUGGACAGUAACUGACGCUGAGGAGCGAAAGCGUGGGGAGCGAACAGG